rnacentral:rRNA from 1 species
GUAGGUGAACCUGCCGUUGGAUCAGUU